GAGUUUGAUCAUGGCUCAGAUUGAACGCUGGCGGCAGGCCUAACACAUGCAAGUCGAGCGGUAGAGAGAAGCUUGCUUCUCUUGAGAGCGGCGGACGGGUGAGUAAUGCCUAGGAAUCUGCCUGGUAGUGGGGGAUAACGCUCGGAAACGGACGCUAAUACCGCAUACGUCCUACGGGAGAAAGCAGGGGACCUUCGGGCCUUGCGCUAUCAGAUGAGCCUAGGUCGGAUUAGCUAGUUGGUGAGGUAAUGGCUCACCAAGGCGACGAUCCGUAACUGGUCUGAGAGGAUGAUCAGUCACACUGGAACUGAGACACGGUCCAGACUCCUACGGGAGGCAGCAGUGGGGAAUAUUGGACAAUGGGCGAAAGCCUGAUCCAGCCAUGCCGCGUGUGUGAAGAAGGUCUUCGGAUUGUAAAGCACUUUAAGUUGGGAGAAGGGCAGUAAUUAAUACUUUGCUGUUUUGACGUUACCGACAGAAUAAGCACCGGCUAACUCUGUGCCAG
rnacentral:rRNA from 1 species